GGGUCAUUGGCAGAGUGGAUUUAUGCAUUCGCCUUUUAAGCGAAACUAGACUGGUUCAAUUCCAGUAUGAACCUU
rnacentral:tRNA from 1 species